GUUGUAGUCCAGGUUUCAGCUUCUAAGAUUCGAGUGGCCAUCAGUUUCUUCUAAUCAAGUCAACGCGCUGGAGAAUUGGCAUGCCUUGUGGUUCUAGAAUGCACUUGUUAUAUGACUUGGUCACAUUGGUUGUUACUUAGUUAUAUCAUUUACCCUUGAAGAUUGAUGUGGCCUAAUGGUCUGGUGAUGCUUCCAUGAACCACUUGAAUUCGUCCUCAGAAAUUGAUCUAAUUUUACUCUUCUCAAAAUAUUCUUGCAGCAUGUAUGCUCUACAUGCUCCGAUAAAAAUUUUUACAAAGGCUUUCUUAAUAUCAUUAUGUAUGUCUUUUACUUCCUUCUUGAAAUUCUCUGCUAAAUAACGCUCACAUAAGGCAUGAUGGGCAUUCUCAAAAACUUAACAGACAAUAUCAACUAGAUCAGGGUGUCUAUCUGACAAAAAAUGAUUUUACGAUAUGUCUCAAUAGCAAUCUUUAGAGAUUCUAUAAACAUGUAGAUAUCACCAUUUUAAAACUGGCAAAUUCUAUGAUAUUCCUGAACCCUUAGGACCACACUAUCCUAGUGAACCCCAUACCAUAGACCACCAUAGUCCAUACUACC
rnacentral:lncRNA from 1 species